rnacentral:tRNA from 1 species
UGGGGUGUAGCAUAAUUGGCAGUGCGNCUGACUGUUAAUCAGGAUUGUGUAGGUUCAAAUCCUACCGCCCCAG